UUACGGCCGUAUCCCGUUGAAACAUCAGUUCUCCUCCGAUCACCGAAGUUAAGCAAUUUCGAGCCUGGUCAGUAUUUAGACGGAUAAACGCUUGGGAAU